rnacentral:misc_RNA from 1 species
CAUCAGUGUUUAUUUCGAUGACUAGUGUGCAUCGUUUUAAAUCGGACUACGUAACGUCGAGCUCACGUGAUAUCGAUACUGAUCAGAUACUGACUCGAUACUCACUCUCGAACUUUUCCUCGUUUUCCUUCAUAUAUGCCGAGGUCCUCCGAAGAGAAAGUUUUCUUCCAAAAUGGGGAUAGAAAAACUCGUAGACGAUAAAACAAUAAAUUUUCCUCGCAAGCUCACGCACUUUUUACUAAGUCCCAGAGUUUAUUCUUUUCGACGUCGUUUCGGGCUCGGACGUUUCGCAGUCCAUGCGGCCAAUACAUGCGCUUUAACCCUGGAAUUUUCUCUACGGCCAUGGACCGCUACAUCAGUGGUCGGCUGCUCAGGCAGAACUGCAUGCCACAGCUAUCGAAAUAGUCGCCGGACAGUGACGGAAUAGCCGCCUCAGAGACACAUCCGACGAUAACCCCUCCAAAGGGACUAAAACUUCAAUAUAAAACUCUCCUAAAUUAGCGC